rnacentral:snRNA from 1 species
AUUGCUUCUUGGCCUUUUGGCUAAGAUCAAGCGUAGUAUGUGUUUUGAUUUUAAUAUUAACAUAGAAAAUAAAUAUUCCAAAACGUGUGGUAGAAAGGUAUGAUUUUAUGUACAUGCUUGUUACUUUGUGAUCCUAUGUUUAAACUGUCAGAGACAUUUGUCGCAUACCAAUUUCAGUACGGUGUCACUUGACAAUUCUGUA